rnacentral:lncRNA from 1 species
CCGGGUUCCAAGACCCCUGCGUAGACUCUGUCUAUAGGUGGAAGAAGGCCUUUGCCCCGAGGCAUCCAGAGGCGUUUCGGCCUAGCUGCCGCCGGUCCAAUCCGCAGCGCUUCCGUGCCCCACUUUCCCGCGUCAGCCUGGCUCCGGCCUCCACCAGGGGGUGCUAGUGAGAUCCCAGCCAGCCUCAGAGCUGAGCGUCCAGGGCCUUCAAAUGUCCCCAUCCUUGAAAAGGCAACUCCAGUGGCAUCUUCUGCGGGGAGACCAGAAGCAGCAUCUGACGAGGAGACAGCACUGGCGGUCCCGACACAACUGAAUCGGCAGGAUGAGGGCCCUUAGUGUUAGGCACCGGCGGAGCUGCAUCCCACCCCGUCUCGUCCCCUGAGAACAGCUGUGAGAAGCCGCCUAUUUUUCAUCGUUCUGCAACACACCUUUCCCUUCCUUGGGAUAUUUCUCCUCUUUCAGCAUUGCCGCAUCAGGGUUCCAAAGCCCCGUUUCUCUCCUAGUUCUUUCUUUGCUCAAGAAAAGCAGCUUGUCUGAUAAACUAAGCUAUGUAUGAUUCGCUGCCAGUACAGACUGAAAAACAAAAUAAACUCCCAAUUCACAGUCCUCCGUUGCGUAACAGUGAGCAGACGUUCUGAGAAAUGCAUCGUCAGGCAAUUGCAUCAUUGUGCAAACAAUAUAGAGUGUACUUACCCAAACCUAAACAGCACAGCCUACUACACACCCAGGCUGUAGGCUGUGCUUCUAGACUACAAACCUGUACAGUGUGGUACUGAACACUGUAGGCAACUGUAACACAAUGGUGUACCUAAUUCCUCUGCCUAGAAAGUGUGCUGGAAUUACUGCCUGGCUUCUGAUGAAUAGGGCGUAUUGAGAGUGAUGCUUUGUGAGUUCUGAGGCUAGGUCAUAGAAAGGAUUGAACUUAUUCCUGAAUGUUGCUCUUGGAUCACUUGCUUUUUUGGGAACCACCAGCCAUGUCAUGAGGACACUCAAGCAACCCUGCAGAGAAGCACAUGUGUGGAGAGGCACUUCUUGGAAAGGAGGCCAACUUGCCAGAACCAACUAAUUUGUCAUGUGAGUGAGUCAUUUUGGAAGCAGAUCCUCUACCCUCAGUCAGGCCUUCCGAUGAUUUCAGCCCCCAGCCUUUGAGUCUGCCCCAAACACCAUGAGUAGAGACAAGCCCUUCCCACUGUGUCCACCCUGGCUGAAUUCCAGACCGUUAAAAAAACAAGAGAAAAUAAAUUAUUAUUAGUGUUUUGAGUCA